rnacentral:rRNA from 1 species
GAUGAACGCUGACAGAAUGCUUAACACAUGCAAGUCGACUCGAGUCUUCGGACUUGGGUGGCGCACAGGUGAGUAACGCGUAAAGAACUUGCCUCUUAGACCGGAACAACAUCUGGAAACGGAUGCUAAUACCGGAUAUUAUGGUUUUUUCGCAUGGAGGAAUCAUGAAAGCUAGAUGCGCUAAGAGAGAGCUUUGCGUCCCAUUAGCUGGUUGGUGAGGUAACGGCCCACCAAGGCAAUGAUGGGUAGCCGGCCUGAGAGGGUGAACGGCCACAAGGGGACUGAGACACGGCCCUUACUCCUACGGGAGGCAGCAGUGGGGAAUAUUGGACAAUGGACCACAAGUCUGAUCCAGCAAUUCUGUGUGCACGAUGACGUUUUUCGGAAUGUAAAGUGCUUUCAGUCGGGAAGAAGUCAGUGACGGUACCGACAGAAGAAGCGACGGCUAAAUACGUGCCAGCAGCCGCGGUAAUACGUAUGUCGCAAGCGUUAUCCGGAUUUAUUGGGCGUAAAGCGCGUCUAGGCGGCAAGGAAAGUCUGAUGUGAAAAUGCGGAGCUCAACUCCGUAUGGCGUUGGAAACUGCCUUACUAGAGUACUGGAGAGGUAGGCGGAACUACAAGUGUAGAGGUGAAAUUCGUAGAUAUUUGUAGGAAUGCCGAUGGGGAAGCCAGCCUACUGGACAGAUACUGACGCUAAGCGCGAAAGCGUGGGUAGCAAACAGG